rnacentral:misc_RNA from 1 species
AAGUCGUAACAAGGUUUCCGUAGGUGAACCUGCGGAAGGAUCAUUAACACGUACGAAAGUACACACCAACACUGUGAACCUUUUUGGUACUACCUCUCCCUUUCGAUGUGGGCUGUUAGUAUGGAUGCUGCUAUAGGACAUUCAUCUAGCAGGCUCCGUGUCUUUACACGAACCCACUCUGAAGGUUACCUUUUCCUUAGCACAUUUUACCAUUAUCACCUAUAAUUACAUUUGUCUAAUGUAGCGGCACAGAGAAAUCCGUGCAGCUUGAUUAUCUAAACUAAGCACAACUCUUAGCAAUGGAUAUCUAGGUUCUC